UUUUUUGCAAGUAAUUGUUGAAAUUGGGUGACAAUUCAUCUUGGUUUUUGUGAAAAUUUGCUCGACUCUUUCUCUCCAAGCAUCUGGCCUUCGACCUCAGCCUUCGAACUCAGCCGCCUUCGAAAUUGAGGAGUGAGUCUGUACUUCAGCCCCUCAACCAGUUGCCUCCUCCAAAUGUCAAACGGGAGCUUAUAAUGCUUUCUUUACCGGCAAUAGCUAGCCAGGCCAUUGAUCCUAUGGCUCAGCUGAUGGAGACAGCUUAUAUUGGCAGUUUAGGUCCUGUACAGCUGGCAUCCGCUGGUGUUUCUAUGUCUAUCUUUAAUAUCAUUUCAAAGCUAUUCAACAUACCACUUCUUAGUGUUGCUACUUCUUUCGUAGCU